UCCGAGUUUAAAAGAGUCGUUGUCUAUAGUCAGUCACAUUUAACCAUGUCAUUAAUCAAGGGAUUAUACACCAUUAUGAUUGUUUUGCACAGAGUCUGUUUAGUCGGUCACCGACUUAUAUCACUGAACAGUAGAUGCAUCAUAAUAAGAGACUGAAAAAAUGGCGAACAGAAAAAAGACUGCAGCAUUAUUCAAUGCUGUCUAUGAAAACAACAUAGGAGAAGUAAGAAGACUGCUGGAUCAAGGAGC